UUGGUGUAACCUGCACAAAAUAAGGAACCCGUAUUUUAUUUUGGCGGGUCAAUCUGACAGCACCCUUUAAGUUACGGGUCACAGGUGACUCGGAUCUCAAUCGCUGUAGCUGCUGUCCCUGUGGCCAGCUGCUCGUCUCGGCGUCUUCUAAACUUAUAGAAGAAUACGGCUGGAUCGAGGCUUACAAAAAGGACCGAAGGAUUAAAUUGGGUGUUUCCUGUCGACCGCUCGACGGUCAGGUUUUUUCCCACCCCCGGUGUCACGUCAGGAUGGCGAGCUACCGGAUCACCGCAGCUUCGCGGUAGGAUUUAAAUGAACCAAGCUAUUUUUUUCAUUCUGGACCUAUUUGCUCUGGAUCUUGGAAAAAAAAGAAAACAAUCAGAUAUUGAUUGAUGGACUAUUGAUCACCUUGGAUUCAUGAUUGGACCAAAAUAGAAACUCUUGGGUGACAUCAGGGUUUAUUGUUUUGUUGCUGAGUGCUUGUUGUUUUUUUUCUUCCCUUGUUGUGUUUUUGGUUAUAUUAUAGAAAAUCACUGUUAUUAUAAAUAUUAUUAUUAUUGCAUAUCUCCAUAUAUAUAUGAAAGAAAAAAACAAGUUGAAUACAAUAACUUAAACAUA